UUCGCCUACGGGGGGCAGCAGUGAGGAAUAUUGGUCAAUGGGCGCGAGCCUGAACCAGCCAAGUCGCGUGAGGGAGGACGGCCCUACGGGUUGUAAACCUCUUUUGCCGGGGAGCAACGGGCGUCACGUGUGGCGCCACUGAGAGUACCCGGAGAAAAAGCAUCGGCUAACUCCGUGCCAGCAGCCGCGGUAAUACGGAGGAUGCGAGCGUUAUCCGGAUUUAUUGGGUUUAAAGGGUGCGUAGGCGGUUUGAUAAGUUAGAGGUGAAAUGUCGGGGCUCAACCCCGACACUGCCUCUAAUACUG
rnacentral:rRNA from 1 species